ACUUGGAAAACCAAUCAAAAAUGCUUCUACGGCAAUUUUGAAUUAAACAGCGGAGAAACGCCAAGUUUUAUUAAAGUUGAUCAGAAUUAUGGCUAUAAGGGAGGGUACAUU